AUGAGGCGCGGUCAUUCGUCCCCGCCCCUCAAACCCUUGGCCGCCGUCACAAACCCUGAAACCCUUGUCCGCCGCCACAAGCGCUCAUACCAUUGUGAAUCAUCUCAUUGCAAGGAACUCAGUUUUCGUGCGUGGGCGGCCCUCGGCGAUGGUGUCAUCAGCAACAGCAUCUGGAGCCCCAAAUGCUUGCAGGUGGUGAAUCAUCCCAUUGAUGGUUUAAGUAUAUCCAUCAAGUGGCAACAGGCAUCGGGGACGGUGUCAUCAUCAGGAGCAUCUGGCAAGCGCAUCGAGUUUGCAUCUCACAACUUCAGUGGAUCUCCAUUUUCCACCCUCGAAACAGCAUCACAUGCAAAAAGUGACACAAACAUAAGAAGCAGGCCGGUUGAUCAUCAACCAGAAGAGGACGAUUCUACAGUCCUUACAAGAUCUACAGUAGUUGAAGAUAACAAUGCAAGCAUCUUAACCAUAGCUCAAAGUGGUGUGGACAAUUCAGCUACGGUUACAGAUGGAGAGCAUCAAGAGGAUUCAUUCACAGCUCCGAAUACCAAUGAUUUGGAUUUUAGUUUAAAUGAAUAUGGUGAUAUCACGAAUGUUCGUCAACCUAAACUUGUGAUCUCGGGUACAUCAGAUGACUUGAAUGUCAUAAAAGAUAAUGCUGCACUAACGGAAGAAGAUCGCAAAAGAGCCCAUAGAAACGCCCUGAGGAGAGCUUCUUAUCGUAGGAAAAAAGAACUUGCUCUCGAAGAAGAUAAACUCCACGCCAUUAAUUUGUCUGACAACGCAACUAGCUCUGCCUAUACAACAUUAUUAUCGCAUCCUGAUUCAGCAAUUACUGCUACAUCUACUGAGACAUAUGGUCUGGUUAACGACAAUGAUCAAAAUGACAUUGACGAGAAUAUACUUGAAGAAACAUGUGUGGUAACCGAGGAAGAUCGCAAGAGAGAUCAUGUAAAUGCACUUAGGAGGGCAGCUUAUCGUAGGAGAAAGGAUAAGUUUGAAGCAAGUGAAAAUCUACGGAUGCUAUCUAAUUCAGGAUCCGACAAUGACGCAUUCGAGGAUGACGAGGAAGCUAGCAUGACGUCUUUUAUAUCUGGCAAGGUUGAUCCAUUAGAUUGUGUGUACACAAACAUACCAGACAACACCCACAUCCUGAAGCUCGACACAAACUGCAAACACUGCAAGGCCAGAAAAUUCAGAUAUUUUCGUGAGAACAUACGGUUAUUCAAUGGGCAUUUCGCCUUCACAACCCUUGGCGUCAGCUUUGAUGAGAACUACACAAACAUGAAGUCUGGGGUAUACACAUUCCGGGUACACGGAACCAUCUAUCACAAUGUGCAUUCGUUCGGGCCUAGCUCACGUCCAGAACAUCUGCAGUUGUACUUCUAUGAUGACGACCCAACCAUAACCCAUCGUAAGGCGGCCACAAAGCAAUUAGAUCAAGAGGCCGUGAAGAAGUUAGUAGACAUACUUAAAGAGAACCCUUACUCCCAGCAAUUUAGGAGUUUGGGUGCACACAAGGACAACCUUGAUGAUUAUAGGAUAGACCUAAACACUGAUAAGAGGCUUGACCAAAGAAAAUAUAAUAGACCUUUGUCAUCUGAGGUUGCUGCAAUUUGGGUUGAGGGCAGUGACCUGGCAAAAAGGGGCGAACUAGGUUGGCAUCCGAAACUACCUAAACGUAAUGUUCCUUGGGAGGCUGUACAACAUCCUCAACUUGUCCAUGAUGAUGAUGAGGAUGCAGAGGGAAAUAGCAGGUUGUGCGUCUCCGUCAGAGACUACUACUGUUAUAUGCUGCAGACACGGCCUGCAAUCUUCAAUCCCAUACUCUGCGGAGCACGACUGCUACAGCAAUGGGCUGUUGACAUGUACGUUAAGAUUGAGAGUUGUCGGUUGAGGUGGUACAGGAAGAACCAGACGCAGAUUCGUGCUGACUUGUAUAAAGGAGUGGUUGAUGCCAUCACUUCAGGGGAGACGCGGGCAAGCGCUGUUGGGGUUAGAAUAGUGCUCCCUGGAACAUACCCUGGUGGCGACCGCGACAUGAAGAAGAGACAUAUGGAUGCCAUGGCAAUUGUCCAUACAUACGGGAAGCCAGACAUCUUCCUCACCAUGACUUGCAAUCCUAAAUGGGACGAGAUAACAAACGAGUUGUUGCCUGGUCAGACGGUGCAAGACCGACCUGAUAUUGUGGCUCGUGUGUUCUAUGGCAAACUAGAGCACAUGAAGUACAUGUUGUUCAAGAAGCAUAUCCUGGGUGUUGUAGUUGCUUACGUAUACGUAGUCGAGUUCCAAAAAGGGGGCCUCCCCCACGCACAUUUUUUGUUGAUCAUGGACUCAACAUAUAAGCUUAUCGUCCCGGAACAGUAUGACCGACUCAUUUCCGCGAAGCUCCCAGACAAGCACAAGUAUCCGGAAUUGUAUUCAAUGGUGGUAAAGCAUAUGAUGCACGGACCAUGUGGUGCUCUCAACCUGAAGAAUGUUUGCAUGCAAGAAAACGGUUGCAAGUGCAGAUAUCCAUGGUCGUUCAAUGAGAACACAACACAGGGGAAGGACUCAUACCCAGUGUAUCGACGGAGAGACGAUGGAAGACGUGCUAAGGUCAGAGGGAAGAUGCUGGACAACAGAUGGGUCGUGCCUUAUAACCCAUACCUACUGCGGAUGUUCAAUUGCCACAUCAACGAGCUCUGCUCUAGCAUAAAGGCUGUGAAAUAUCUUUACAAGUACAUUUACAAGGGCCAUGAUAAGGCUUCUUUCAGCAUCGAUCAGCCCGACGCCGAUGGUAACAUUGAUGAGAUCAAGAGGCAUAUAUUGUACAAGGAUUUUCCUGGAAGCUUUACGUGGCAGAAGAAAAAGAAGUAUUGGAAGCCGCGGGUCGAGCGUUUUCAAAUUGGGCGCAUAAUGUUUGCCAAUCCUGCCGAGGGGGAGCGAUACUACCUGCGGGUGUUGCUUAACCAUGUUAAGGGCAAAACAUCCGUCGAUGACUUGCUCACCGUGGAUGGCGUGCUAUGUGGGAGCUUUAGAGAGGCUGCUGAAAGGUUGGGACUCAUCGAGGCAGACAACACGCUCGACGACUGUCUUAAUGAGGCUGAGCAGUGGGCGAUGCCAUGUUCACUUAGGAGGCUCUUCGCAACCAUCUUGGUGCACUGCGAGCCAGGCGAUGUGCGUGGACUAUGGGAUCGGCACUUUGAGCCUAUGUCAGAUGACUAUCGUCGAUCACGCACGUCCAUUGACGAGGUGGAGCAGAUGGUGUUGCUUGACAUUAGGGGAAUGUUGCAGUCAAUGGGUAAAGACAUUGUUGAUUUCGCUCUUCCAAUCAUAGAUGAUGCGUUUGACCCUAUAGAGGGCGAGGCAAGAGAGGUUAUCGAGGAAUCAACCGUUGAGUUUGACAUGGAUGACACAAAAUUGGCAUCUUCACUCAACAUGGAGCAGAGGGCCGCAUACGAUGAGAUACUAGGGGCUGUUGAACGCGGUGAUGGGGGUGUUUUCUUUGUUGAUGGCCCUGGAGGUACAGGUAAGACCUUCCUAUAUAGGGCGAUGCUUGCCAAGGUGAGAAGCCAGGGCAAGAUAGGUAUCGCUACCGCGACGUCCGGCGUCGCCGCUUCCAUCAUGCCUGGCGGCAGGACUGCCCACUCCAGGUUCAAGAUCCCAUUGAGUUGCGAUGAUGGAGCCUCGUGCAGCUUCACCAAGCAGAGUGGGACCGCCAAGUUGCUAUGGAUGGCCUCCUUGAUCAUAUGGGACGAGGCCAGCAUGACAAAGCGACAAGCGGUUCUUCCGGUCGUCAGAAGGGGGUCGCGGGGCCAAAUAAUUGAUGCAACCCUCCGAAGCUCUCAUCUAUGGAAGGGCAUGCGUCAGCUUCGGCUCAUCACCAACAUGAGGGCUCAUAAUGACACGUGGUUUGCCGAUUACUUGCUAAGGGUCGGCAAUGGCACUGAGGAAGUUGAUGAUCAAGGCAACAUAGUACUCCCUGAAGAUAUUUGUCUGCCGUCUACAGGCGAGGUUGACGACCUGGAGAAGCUUAUUGAGCACGAGUUUCUGAAUGGAUUGACUCCUAACGGUCUUCCUCCGCAUGCUCUAAAACUAAAGCUGAACUGCCAUGUGAUACUUCUAAGGAACAUUGAUCCAGCUAAUGGGCUUUGUAAUGGCACGAGGCUUGUUGUUAGAGGUUUUGAGAGGAACACCAUUGAUGCAGAAAUCGUGAUUGGACAACACGCUGGCAGGAGGGUCUUCCUUCCUCGAAUACCUCUCUGCCCAUCUGAAAGUGAUAUGUUUCCGUUCAAGUUUAAGAGAAAACAAUUUCCUAUAAGGCUUAGCUUUGCUAUGACCAUUAACAAGGCUCAAGGGCAGACCAUCCCGAUUGUUGGUGUCUACCUACCCAAUCCCGUGUUCUCACAUGGUCAGCUCUAUGUUGCUUUGUCUCAAGCCACCGCGAAGAGAAACAUAAAGAUACUCAUUCAGAAGGAGAAGCCGAAGGAGAAGACCAACAAGCAUAAGGACAAUCCAAAAAAGCGUAAAAGAACUAGCGUGUCCUUACUGACCUCGAUGAAGAACAUCGUCUACAAGGAAGUCCUUACAGCAUUGAUGGCGCUGAUGAUCAUCAACAAGAACAAGAAGAUAAGAAGGAGCUGCACCCUGAUGAAGAACCGAACAGAGAUGGGAAUAUUGGGAACAAAGAUGGAAGCGAUUGCAUACAACAGCCAGGCAAUCCGUUUCAACAACGUGCUAGAAACCGGUAGGACCUAUGAUUUCAAUCGCGUCGGGUUUAACCCCACAGAAAUGCCAGAUGGUCAUUUCUGACGGCAGAUAAUUUUCUUACGUGUACGUGAAGAACACGUUGGGCCUAACUUCUGGUGUUUGCAAUGCACUGACAACCUGUUCGAGAAGUUAGCUGUAACUUAUAUACAGUUUCAUUCUCUGGCACGGGCCCUCAGACACUCUUCAAUGGAGCAAGAAACACGCACCGCGGUGCUGAUUGACAAUGCCAUUGUUCGGCCGUUUCCUAAAUAUGAUGUGUUCAACUCUAACAUUUAUCUACUACCAUUUGUUGCCGUGGAUUCUUCGUACGGACUACUUGUAGUCGACAUGGAAUAUAGGAGGGUUCUCCCAAUUGAUCCAUCAAUCGACGUCUAUGUUGGACCAUACAACUUUCAUAACACUGAAACGAGGAAGGAAAUCACAAUGUUGAAACAAGAGUUCAACAAUGUGUUGCAGAUGAGGAUCCAUGGUUGGAAUACGAAUCUCAUGGACUGGUCAACGCACGGCAUCGCUUCAAAUGGCAGGCGCAACGACUCCGCUUUCCUUGUCCUGCAGGAGAUGGCCCACCAGAAUGGUACUACUGAUUCUGGUAGGAAGACAACUCACGAUUCAAUACAGCUCAGAAAGAACCUGCUGGUCCAGAUGCUGACGAUAAAAAACAAUGAAGCAGCUGGAAACAUACCAGAUGAAAUUAAAGCGGCAUUGAGGGUUUUAAACGACUGA
rnacentral:rRNA from 1 species